UGAUGUCCAAAACAAAACAAACAAUGACUUAGAGUGCCCUCUGGUGGCUGUCAGUAGGCACACAAGCUGAUGGCUGUGACAUCAUUAAAAAGGUCAAAUAUCACACAUUCUGUCAUAUCAUUUCCUGUUUUAUGGUAUUCUUGUUGCAAAACUGCUCCCUCUCUGACUUUAUUAAUUUCUUUUUUAAGUAUUAUUAUUAAUUUAAAAUAGUGUUUUAAGAAUAAACACACUGUGGAGUACUGCUCAAUUUAGAGGACAUUAAAAACCAUAAGUAAAAAUUUUAACAACUCAUCAUCUUUUGCCAUUAGCUACAUUUACAUGGGCAACCUUUGUCUUAAUCAAAAUACAAUCAUUCUAAACGUAGUGUUUAUAUGACCGGAUGAAUGAAGUAAGUGGUGGUGACUGACACUUGUGAUCACCAAUCAGCAAAGAGUUUUUUUUUUCUAUUUUAGAGCUGGUUAGUUGCAGCUUGUGAUGCGUCACGUCCAGAGUCUCCCCUUUCUGUUGGUUUUGAGGGAGGCUUUAGUUGCUUCAGUAGAAGCUUUGUUUGGGGCUUGACGAUUGGCAGGUGGAGUAAUGUGCAGUUCCCUGUACUUCAGUUUAGCAGCGGGUUAUAUGAAGGCUGUGUAUCCUGGCCUGUGAACAGAUUAUAGAGCACAUUAUUCUUGUUUGGAUUCUCCCUUUUGUUCUGGUCGAUUAUUGUUGCAGCUCUGUCGUUUUUCUGCUGUCGUGCUGAAAGAAUGCUGUUACCUUGCAACUAAUAAAGGGAUUGCUGCUAUUUUUUUAUUUCUUUGAUUUCUAGUUAAUUUUCUUCGGGAUGGAGGAUUGUUUAUUUGAUGACCAGAGCUGGCGUACAGAAUUCGUGGAAGACAGAAUCCGCGUAGAGCAACCGCGUAGUUUGAACUGAGUUGUUUUUUUUUUUUCAUCUUUUUUCUUUUGAAAAUUUGUGUAUUAUUGAUUGUGAAGUAUGUUGUUGAUUUUUUUUUUUUUUUACCUAGCAUUGUUUGUUUUAUGCUGAAACUGUAACAUAAUUUCACUGUGAUUUUUAUUUACUUCUGUUUAUAAUUUUUUUUUGUUGUGUAAAUUAGUCUUUAUGUAACAUGUUUUCCUUUGGUUGUUUUUCUUUUUCUGUGUUUAUUCUUUGAAUUCUUUGCCAGUCACUGCCUCUUUAACAGUGAGUAUUUUAUAUAUAUAUAUAUAUAUAUAUAUAUAUAUAUAUAUAUAUAUAUAUAUAUAUAUAUUUGGAAUGCACAAUAAAUAUUGGAACGUUAUUUAAUGCGCAUCACAUCAGUAAAGCCGGAUCUGCAAUCAGCGAUAAAUCUCUACACGUGUGUGCUUCCACCUGGAGCAGCAUUU
ensembl:lncRNA